GUGCACGCUGGCGGUAGGCCUCACACCUGCAAGUCGAACGGCAGCACAGUAAGAGCUUGCUCUUACGGGUGGCGAGUGGCGGACGGGUGAGGAAUACAUCGGAAUCUACUUUUUCGUGGGGGAUAACGUAGGGAAACUUACGCUAAUACCGCAUACGACCUACGGGUGAAAGCAGGGGAUCUUCGGACCUUGCGCGAUUGAAUGAGCCGAUGUCGGAUUAGCUAGUUGGCGGGGUAAAGGCCCACCAAGGCGACGAUCCGUAGCUGGUCUGAGAGGAUGAUCAGCCACACUGGAACUGAGACACGGUCCAGACUCCUACGGGAGGCAGCAGUGGGGAAUAUUGGACAAUGGGCGCAGGCCUGAUCCAGCCAUACCGCGUGGGUGAAGAAGGCCUUCGGGUUGUAAAGCCCUUUUGUUGGGAAAGAAAAGCAGCAGGUUAAUACCCCGCUGUUCUGACGGUACCCAAAGAAUAAGCACCGGCUAACUUCGUG
rnacentral:rRNA from 1 species